rnacentral:rRNA from 1 species
CGCGCAGGCGGUCGAUUUAGUCGCGUGUGAAAGCCCCCGGCUCAACUGGGGAGGGUCACGCGAUACUGAUCGACUCGAAGGCAGGAGAGGGUAGUGGAAUUCCCGGUGUAGUGGUGAAAUGCGUAGAUAUCGGGAGGAACACCAGUGGCGAAGGCGACUACCUGGCCUGUUCUUGACGCUGAGGCGCGAAAGCUAGGGAGGCAAACG